rnacentral:misc_RNA from 1 species
CCCCGAGUUGUGUCUUUGUACAGAGGUCUUUCUUUGCUUUGCUAAUUCAGUUGCCUCAACGCGUUUUAUGUUGCAAGACGAGUUCAAUCUUCAGACAACAAAAUGCGAUAAUUGCAUAAUUGGAUUCAUGUUUUGCCUCCAGCAGGUAGCAUGUAUAUUUAGCUGCAUUGCUUGUAUUACAGGAAAUGACGAACUUCAAGAGGCUUCUCGGGUACUGAAUUGUUGCUCGGACAUGGUUUAUUGCACGGUUUGCAGCUGUAUGCAGACACAACACAAGGUUGAAAUGAACAAAAGAGAUGGAAAGUUUGGUGCAAGGCCAACAACAGCACCACCUAUUCAACACAUGUCUCGUUUGGAUCAGCCUCUUCCUCCAACCAUUGCAUAUGCACCCCAAUCAUAUCCACCCCCACCCCCACCCCAGCAACCCUAUGGAUACCCACCACCACCACAACAACCCCCUAUAUACCCUCCACCCAAUUAUGCACCAAGUGGUGUUGGAUAUCCUCCACCUGGUUAUCCGCGCUGAAAUUCGUAAGGCAUAAUAUAUAAACGCGUCAUUUUACAUGGUUUACUUAGUUAUACACAGUGAUUUUUUUUCAAUUUCAUUCUUUCUUUUUGUGGAACCUUAGUUGUUGCAUUGUAAUCCCAAGUGAGGAAAUAAA